AUUGAACGCUGGCGGAAUGCUUUACACAUGCAAGUCGAACGGCAGCACGGGUGCUUGCACCUGGUGGCGAGUGGCGAACGGGUGAGUAAUGCACCGGAACGUACCCAGUAAUGGGGGAUAACUAUCCGAAAGGAUAGCUAAUACCGCAUACGCCCUGAGGGGGAAAGCGGGGGAUCGUAAGACCUCGCGUUAUUGGAGCGGCCGAUGCCGGAUUAGCUAGUUGGUGGGGUAAAGGCCCACCAAGGCGACGAUCCGUAGCUGGUCUGAGAGGACGACCAGCCACACUGGAACUGAGACACGGUCCAGACUCCUACGGGAGGCAGCAGUGGGGAAUUUUGGACAAUGGGCGAAAGCCUGAUCCAGCCAUUCCGCGUGAGUGAAGAAGGCCUUCGGGAUGUAAAGCUCUUUCGCAAGGAAAGAAAACUUACUUACUAAUACUAGGUGAGGUUGACGGUACCUUGAUAAGAAGCACCGGCUAACUACGUGCCAGCCGCCGCAGUAA
rnacentral:rRNA from 1 species